rnacentral:rRNA from 1 species
UUAUGCUGAUAAGAGCGUAUGGUGGAUGCCUUGGCACUAAGAGCCGAUGAAAGACGUGAUAAGCUGCGAAAAGCUUCGGGGAGGGGCAAAUACCCAUCGAUCCGGAGAUUUCUGAAUGGGGAAACCUAACUGAGCAAACCUCAGUUAUCCUGACGCCAAUCCAUAACGUCAGGAAGGGAACCCGGUGAACUGAAACAUCUAAGUAGCCGGAGGAAGAGAAAACAACAUGUGAUUCUGUGAGUAGCGGCGAGCGAAAACGGAAGAGCCCAAACCGGGAUGCGUGCAUCCCGGGGUUCGGACCGCGGAAUUGAUUCAACAAGUUUAGCAGAACAGUUUUGGGAAAGCUGACCAAAGAGGGUGAAAGUCCCGUAAGCGAAAGGCGAGUUGACAUGGCGGUAUCCAGAGUAGGUCGAGACACGUGGAACCUUGACUGAAUAUGCGGGGACCACCCCGUAAGGCUAAAUACUCCUUAGUGACCGAUAGCGCAUAGUACUGUGAAGGAAAGGUGAAAAGGACCCCGGGAGGGGAGUGAAAAAGAACCUGAAACCAUAUGUUUACAAGCUGUGGAACAUCUUUAUAUGAUGAACCGCGUACUUUUUGUAGAACGGUCCGGCGAGUUACGCUGGCUGGCGAGGUUAAGCACUGAAGGUGCGGAGCCGAAGGGAAACCAAGUCUGAACAGGGCGAAAGUCAGUCGGAGUAGACCCGAAACCGGGUGAUCUAUCCAUGUCCAGGUUGAAGUUGCCGUAAAAGGCAAUGGAGGACCGAACCCACAUCCGUUGAAAAGGGUGGGGAUGAGGUGUGGAUAGGGGAGAAAUUCCAAUCGAACCCGGAGAUAGCUGGUUCUCCUCGAAAUAGCUUUAGGGCUAGCCUCAUACAAGUCUUGCGGAGGUAGAGCACUGAAUUCCUACGGGGGCGUCAAAGCUUACCAAGGGAUAUCAAACUCCGAAUGCCGUGUAGAUGAUGUAUGGGAGUCAGACUAUCCGAGAUAAGUUGGGUAGUCGAAAGGGAAAGAGCCCAGACCUGCAGCUAAGGCCCCAAAAUGUGUGUUAAGUGGAAAAGGAUGUGGGAUUUCGAAGACAACUAGGAUGUUGGCUUAGAAGCAGCCAUCCAUUAAAAGAGUGCGUAAUAGCUCACUAGUCGAGAGGUCCUGCGCCGAAAAUGUCCGGGGCUGAAACACACUGCCGAAGCUCAGGGAUGAACAGUGAUCAAUACAGAUCAAUGCAAGAGGAAAGCUUCUUGAUGAAAUCAAGAAGAUUCCAAAACAGAUGAAACAGACUGCUGUUGGUCUGCGUUGAUCACUGUUCAUCGGUAGAGGAGCAUUCUUAAAGAGACGAAGCUGUACCGAAAGGAGCAGUGGAUUUUUAAGAAGAGAGAAUGCCGGAAUGAGUAGCGAGAAAGAGGUGAGAAUCCUCUUGGCCGAAUAUCUAAGGUUUACAGGGUAAAGCUGAUCUGCCCUGGGUAAGUCGGGGCCCUAAGGCGAGGUCGAAAGACGUAGUCGAUGGAUAACAGGUUGAAAUUCCUGUACUAUCCUGUAACAGAACUGUGGGGACGCAGACAGAGAGCACAAGCCGGGAAUGGAAAGACCGGUGCAAGCGAGGUAGGAGUACAUCAGGCAAAUCCGGUGUGCAAUCCGAAGACGUGAUGCGGAUCGAAAAGAAGUAGAGAAGUGUGUGAGCUGGCUGCCAAGAAAAGCCGCUAUUGUUUACAGGAUACCCGUACCGUAAACCGACACAGGUGGAUGAGGAGAGAAUCCUAAGGUCGACGGGAGAAGCAUUGUUAAGGAACUCGGCAAAAUGACUCCGUAACUUCGGGAGAAGGAGUGCCAUGCGAAUGGCCGCAGAGAAUUGGCCCAAGCAACUGUUUAGCAAAAACACAGGUCUAUGCGAAACCGAAAGGUGAGGUAUAUGGGCUGACGCCUGCCCGGUGCUGGAAGGUUAAGGGGAGAGGUUAGCGCAAGCGAAGCUUUGAACUUAAGCCCCAGUAAACGGCGGCCGUAACUAUAACGGUCCUAAGGUAGCGAAAUUCCUUGUCGGGUAAGUUCCGACCCGCACGAAAGGCGUAAUGAUUUGGGCACUGUCUCAACAAUGCACCCGGUGAAAUUGAAAUACCAGUGAAGAUGCUGGUUACCUGCGCCAGGACGGAAAGACCCCAUGGAGCUUUACUCUAGCUUGAUACUGGGAUUCGAUAUUGCAUGUACAGGAUAGGUGGGAGACUAGGAAGUGGUGACGCCAGUUGCCAUGGAGUCAAUGUUGGGAUACCACCCUUGCAGUAUUGGGUUUCUAACCAGCAGCCGUGAUCCGGCUGGGGGACAAUGUCAGGUGGGGAGUUUGACUGGGGCGGUCGCCUCCGAAAGGGUAUCGGAGGCGCUCAAAGGUUCCCUCAGAAUGGUUGGAAACCAUUCGAAGAGUGCAAAGGCAGAAGGGAGCUUGACUGCGACACCGACGGGUGGAGCAGGUACGAAAGUAGGACUUAGUGAUCCGGUGGUAUAAAGUGGGAUUGCCA